GACGUCAAAUCAUCACGGCCCUUACGUCCUGGGCCACACACGUGCUACAAUGGUUGGUACAGAGGGCAGCUACCGGGUGACCGGAUGCAAAUCUCUAAAGCCAAUCUCAGUUCGGAUUGGAGUCUGCAACUCGACUCUAUGAAGCUGGAAUCGCUAGUAAUCGCGCAUCAGCCAUGGCGCGGUGAAUACGUUCCCGGGCCUUGUACACACCGCCCGUCAAGCCAUGGAAGCUGGGGGUACCUGAAGUCGGUGACCGCAAGGAGCUGCCUAGGGUAAAACCGGUAACUGGGGCUAAGUCGGAACAAGGUAGCC
rnacentral:rRNA from 14 species